rnacentral:rRNA from 1 species
UACGGAGGGUGCAAGCGUUGUUCGGAUUUAUUGGGCGUAAAGCGCGUGUAGGCGGUUUCUUAAGUCUGAUGUGAAAGCCCCGGGCUCAACCCGGGAAGUGCAUUGGAUACUGGGAGACUUGAAUACGGGAGAGGGUAGUGGAAUUCCUAGUGUAGGAGUGAAAUCCGUAGAUAUUAGGAGGAACACCGGUGGCGAAGGCGGCUACCUGGACCGAUAUUGACGCUGAGACGCGAAAGCGUGGGAAGCAAACAGG